rnacentral:lncRNA from 1 species
AUCACGUAUAACUUAGUUAUAGAUUUAUUUAGCUUUAUUCUUGUUAAAUCUAUCCUUUAUAUAUAACUAAGUUAUACAUGAUCCAAUGUGUAUGAAAUUUUUACCAUAGUUCAAGCAUACAAUAGUGAGCCCACCAUAAAAAUUUUACCAUAGUUGGACCAUAUGAACUACAUAUAUGAAUUAUUCAAAUUAAUUAAAGAAAAACAUAGAUUUAAAGCUACAACAAAAACUUUAUAUUCACCGUGUAGAUCUACUCAUCUAGAGUCCAAUAAAAUUGAAUAUUUUAUUUUAUUAUUUUUCUAUGGUUUAUUAUAAAUUUUCAAAUAUUCAGCAGAAAUAAAUAAAAAAAGAAAAAAAACAAAACCACCCUCUAAAAACCACUCGAGGGGGUUAUUUGACCGGUUUUGAAAGUUCAGGGGGUAGAAUCUCCGGUAUUAUAGUUUGAGGGAUGAAGUAUUCCAUCCUAGAUAAUUUGAGGGGUUAUGUAGACUUUUUCCUAUGAUUCAGAAUCAAAUGAAGUUAAAAGCCCAUCACCAUAGAGCCUCUUCAUGUGAUUCUCACUUAUAUGACCCAAACGACAAUGCCACAUAUAGGUAGGACUUAACUCAUUAAGCCGAGGCCUUUUAGCACUACCAUUACACAUAGGUGCAUCAUCAAGAUUUAAAAUAAAUAGACCACUUACAAUGGAUGCAAAAGCCACAAAUAUGUCAUUCUUAGAGAUCACACAAUCUUUGUCUUUACUCGCAAAUGAAUAACCAUCCUUCAUCAAACAUGAAGGUGACACAAUGUUUUGACUUAAACUAGGAACAAAAUAAUAAUGGAUAAUUAUUCAGUUUCAAAAUAAAUCCUAAUGGUAGGUGGAGUUGCAUUGUCCUGACGUUCAACGUAGCAACUCUUGCAUUAUUGCCCACACGGAAAUCAACUUCUCUCUUUUCCACGCUUCUACUUCUUAUCAUUUCCUGCACUGUAUUGCAAAUAUGAGCAACAGAUUUAGUAUCUAAUACUCAAGAAUUAAUAUAAGAGUUAGC